rnacentral:rRNA from 1 species
CCCGCGACGUCGCGAGAAGUCCACUGAACCUUAUCAUUUAAAGGAAGGAGAAGUCGUAACAAGGUUUCCGUAGGUGAACCUGCGGAAGGAUCAUUGUCAAUACCUGCAA